CUUUUCCCCAGAACAGGAGGUAAAGUCCUCAAGUGAUGUUUAUUCCUCACCUUGAUAUCUAUAUCUCAUAACUUAAAUAUUAUGAUGUAAAAUUAGCAAUACUUAAAUAAUAUGAUACACAUUUAAUACAGUUUAUGUUACAUGAUAAGGUAAUAAGAGAGAAAAAAUAAAGAUACUUGCUUAAUACAUACAUACAUAUAUAUGUGUGUGUAUAUAUAUAUAUUCACACACUAACAUACACAAAAUAAGGAGGAAAUAAUCCUGACAAUUACAGUCCUCAUCUCUGUAGCUAAUAACAAAGUCACAGCUGGUAAUUAUAAUUACCUUCCUCUACUACAUAUUCUGUAUUCUCUUGCCUUCAGCAAGCCCUUAGCUAGCUGUGGUUCUUUAUUCAGUAAGGAGACUUAAAUCUUCCUUCCUGAAGGGUCUGGCCAUUCAUAGUCCUGCCAGGAUUGGGUUGUUGUAGUUUUCCAUUGACCUUAAUCACAGGACAUGAUAACACAGAGAGAUACCCUAAGGAAUCUCCUGCAUUGCAGACAUAUUCUCUUUUACCUGCAUUGUGGAGUAGUAGUCCAAUUUCCCCUUUCUAGACAGGAUCAAUCACUCCAGCCAGCACAAUAAUUCCCUUCUUUGUUGAUUCAGAGGCACAAGGAACCCAAAGUGGCUGGCAGGAGUCUUAACUUUCAGGUGAAAAAAUCAUUGUUGUGUCUCCUGGUGGAAGCAUUACUCCCUUUGGAACUAAGACCUCUAGGCCAGCAGAGCAUAAAGUUACAGAAAUUGGAAGCAAAAAUGUUGCUUGUGGGUAACUAGGGGUAAUAAUAAGUGAUGCCACUUCCAUUUCCAACCCUUGAUUUCUGGACCCACGAAUCCUGCCUAUGGGAGAAAUAGCACCACAUGUUGGAAGCUGAGUCAGAGCAUAUACAGCCUUCUGGAAAACCUUGCUUCAGUUCUGCAAGGAAUUGCCACCUAGCUGGUGCUGUAACUGAGUCUUCAAAAGGCUAGUCCACUGCUCUGUCAAGCCAGCUGCUUCAAGAUGGUAGGGAAGAUGGUAAAGCAGUGAAUUCCUUGAGCAUAGGCCUUUUGCAUCAUUGCAUUUGCUGUGAAGUGACUUCUUUGAUCAGAAGAAAUGCUGCAUGCAAUACUAUGAUGGUAGAUAAGGUGUUCUGUAAGUCCAUGGAUGAUAGUUUUGGCAGAAGUACUAUAUAUAGGGAAGGCAAAUCCAUAUCUGGAGUAAAUGGCUAUUCCAGUAAGAAUAUGAUCAACUAGCCAAUGCCAUAGGUAUGUGUAAGUCAGACUAUUCUGAUUACUGUUUUGACUCUGCUCCUCAUUACAGUAACUAUGUCCACCUUGCCUUUGGUGGUUGAGUCCCACGACUUGGCUCUCAUCACCCUGGGACCCAAUUACUUUGCGUUUGAGUUUCCCAAUUCAGUGACCACAGUUCCCACUGUAAGGUCUGGCCUACAGGGAAGAGCAAUAACAGAGUUCUUCAAGAAUGCCGGGGAUCCCCUCACAAAUUUAUUUCUCAUUGUCAUAGUAAAAGGGAUAUUUUCUGGACUCUCCCAGGAUGGGUUAUUACAUUUUAAAUGACAAACCCAGUCUAACAUUCCAAACUCCAUAAGCAUUAAAUCCCUUCCCCUACAUUAAACUAAGGCAGUUCCAGUAUUUCCAAUUUACUCACAGUGGCCACCUUUUGGUCCAUUUUCAGCUAACCAAUCAAAUAAACUGUUAGUACCCUUGCUAAUUAUGAGUUGCAACAUUAGAUGCAGACUCUCUGCUUAGUCAGCCCAUAUCAAUAAAUUUGGCUUGAUCCAUCUUCAUGUUCCUUCCACCAUUAUCCCACACCCUUAAUAUACAUUCCCAUCCAUGUUCCCUGGACUUUUAUCAGUAUACAUUAGAAAAUACAAGUAGUUUUUUUAGAGUGUAAUGCAACUCCCCAUUGGUCUCAUUUUUUACUUCACCUUUAGGGGCCUGCUAGGAUCUAAGUCUAAUUACAGAUCGAUAAGCAAACAGAAGUUGUAGGCGUGGGGCCUGAGGAGACUCUGCAUUGUCUGGCAUAGCAACUGCCUUAGAGAAUGCCAUCAGUUUCCACAAGCAAUGCCAGGUUGAUCCUCUCAAGUGGGUGGAGAGGCCACUUUCACUAGGGAUGGGAAGGUCCCUUCCACUGACAAAGAAGGCUCAUCAGAAUUUAGGGACUAAAUGUCCCCAGCCUCAUCAGGGUCUUGCCAUACAUCCUUAUUCCAACUAGUAUUUCAUUCCUUCCCAACUAACUAACUAAUGACUUAGUUUUAAAGGUAAACAACAUACAAGGUUAGUAGUUCAACUUGUAAUUAUGCCAUAGUAUGAGAUUCUGGCUUUUAUUUUAAGCAAUCUCAACCUUGUGAUUACAGGAGAUAAGGGUCUCCCUCAGGGAACACAUAGAAACUUUCAGGUUAUUUAUGUAGCAAUGAGCUGGGAACUCAAAUCCUUGAGCUCAUCCUUUUCUUUCCUUUGUCCAGUGGCAAUAGGACAAGCAAAUAUCAUUAUAUUCAUGAGUUUGCCAAAAAUAUCAUAUAGUCACCUAGAUCUUUGCUUCUUAUAAGUAGGUGAUUAAGAUUAUCCAAUAGUGUUAUUUUGCAUAUCUCUAUUAUCAGAUCACACCAGAACCAUAAUCUGUAUUAGUCAGGGCUCUACAGAAAAAGAGAACCGUGUGUGUGUGUGUGUGUAUGUGUGUGUGUGUGUGUGUGUGUGUGUGUGUGUAAAGAGAUUCAUAAGGAAUUGGCUCAUGUGAUUACAAAGGCUAACAAGUACCAAAAUCUACAGUUGGCUUGCUAGAGAGACCUAGGAGAGCCAAUGGUAUAAUUCUAGUCUAAAUGCUGACAGGCUCCAGAUCCAGAAACAGCUGAUGUUUCAGUUUGAGUCCAAAGGCAGUAAAAAAACUAUCUUCCAGAUCAAAGGCAGGCAGGCAGGAGGAGUUCCCUCUUACUCUUGGAAAGGUCAGGUUUUUUGUUCUAUUCGGGCUCUCAAUUUAUUGGAUGGGACCUACUUAUAAUAGUCUACUGAUUCCACUAUCAAUAUCAUCCAGAAGCACCCUCACAGACACACCUAGAAUAAUGUUUGACUAAAUGUCUGGGCAUCUGUGGCCCAGUUAAGUUGACAUGUAAAAUUAACCAUCAUGGAUACUAAUUAGCUUUUAAUAUUAAGUAAUACAUGUACAUUAUUUAUAUGAGAAAUUCUGAUUGAUUGACAUAUUCAAAAUUACAAGGGCUAAUAUUAUCAAUUAGCAUUACUUUCGAUUCAUCAUAUAUCUUUCUUUAACUACAAAAUAAGAUUUUUUUCUCAUUCUAUAUAAUAAAUCAUUAUGGACUUUCAUUUAAGCUAAAGAACUUCAUCUCAGGGACAUUCUAAAGUAUUUUAAAUAUGAAAAAAUCUGAGUAAGUUUUGUUCAUCUGUAUAUGUUUUUGAAUUAUCAUCUAAAAUGAUAUUUUACUAAUUAACUUAAUAAUAGAGCAAAAACCAUUUGAUCUGUGAAAAUUUGGUUUUUUAAAGCAAUGAAUUUUAGUUAGGUUGGUAAAAUACAUUUGCUGUAAAGUUACCUCAGAUGCCUAGUGCUUUACCUCAUGUUGUGACAUCAUAGUCAAUGUUACUGCAUGUGGAAACAAUUAAUGAAAUGCCUUCAUAUUACGCUCUUUAAUUUGAUUAAAUUAAAGCUAACUGACUAAUUUUACAUUAUUUAUAUUUCUUGAUUUCCUUCUUUCUUUGUCUAUACCAUAGCUUUCAUAUUAAUUAUUCCAUUUUUAUCAGAAAUGAAGUAAUAAAAAUAUAAAUGCUUACUACCUAAAUUGUUUAAAAAGCUAUUUGCAGGUACCUGUAAAAUCCAAUCAUGAUAAAUACAUAAAGAAUACAUGAAAAAUGACUCAACUAAUGACUCAACUAAUUACUCAACUAAUUAAUACACUUAAAAUAAAAGUGAAGACUACCAGAAGAAGACCAGCAAAAUGAGGCAGCCAGUGUGCCUCUCUUCAGAGAACAAUCAGGAUAGCCAUCAAAUACACAUAUGUCAAAUAUAUCAUCAGAGAAAGAAGCUUGAAGAUAACAGAUAGGUGACAGGAAGACACUGAGGGUGAAGGUAGAGGCCGAACUGUCUGCUUGGGACCACUGAGAGCCUUGAGAAGCCUGCAGACUCACACCCAGGGAAGCGAUCAUCACAGAAGCCUCCUGGCCAGUAUUUUGCUUCUAAGUGGACUCUACCAGCCAGGGUGAUCUAUCUAAAAAUCAAAUCCUAUCAUGCUAUUCUCUUGGUAAAUUUCUUCAAUACAUCCCUACAAAUUGCUGGAUAAAGUUCAGUCUCCUCAGCUUUGAGGAAGUAAGCUUCUCUGAAUUCUACAACUGCAAGGAACUAAAUGCUGCCAACAACCACAUCAGUAGGGCAGUGGCUUCUUCCCCAUUUGAGUUCUCCAGAUGAAUACCUCAUCCUGGCUCACAGUAUGACUUCAGCUUAUGAGACACUAAGCAGAAUAAUAUGCUAAAAUGUGUCACCUGGCCCUCUUCACAACACCCUUGUUGGAAAUGGAGCUUGGAGAACGAGUGCAAAGAAAUGCUGAUUCUCUGGUUAUUGCCAUAGCUGUGAAUACUAAAGUCCUUUUUCUCUGACCCAGGAGUCUUGUGUCUUCUGUCAGCAUCUAUUAUAUCAAACUGCAGCUAGCUUGCAAAUAGGGUAGAAUAUCAGAUCUGUUACAGUUCUUGAUAAUAUUAUGCUGUAAUUGCUUUUUUCUCAAAACCCAAAUAUCACGUUGGAGUAUAAGUUCUUUGGAUCACAGAUGUAUUUAUUGUAUCUCUAGCACUUACCACAAUGCUUGGUAAAAUAAUCACUUG